rnacentral:rRNA from 1 species
UACGUAGGUGGCAAGCGUUGUCCGGAAUUAUUGGGCGUAAAGCGCGCGCAGGCGGCUUCUUAAGUCUGAUGUGAAAGCCCACGGCUCAACCGUGGAGGGUCAUUGGAAACUGGGGAGCUUGAGUGCAGGAGAGGAGAGUGGAAUUCCACGUGUAGCGGUGAAAUGCGUAGAUAUGUGGAGGAACACCAGUGGCGAAGGCGGCUCUCUGGCCUGUAACUGACGCUGAGGCGCGAAAGCGUGGGGAGCAAACAGG